CCCUGCUGUCACUCCCAGGAUCUCCACAGCUGGUUUCCAUCAGUAAUCACUGCCAGCAGCGUUUAGCGAAGUCUUGUUUGUGCCUGCAUCACUGAGCGUUCUGAACCUGACCUGACCUUCCGUUUCGUCUGCCGCCUGCCCCGACCCUCGCCUGGACCCUUUUGUGGACUUUUAACCCACAUAAACCUGCUACACUUGGAUCCAGCCUGUUUCUGACAACACCUCUCCGAGUUCCCCUGCUCGUCCAGGAACUCCAGGGAUCCCAGGCUUUCCGGGCUCUCCAGCGGGCCCUUGGGGUCCCUGCGGCCCUCGCUCCCCGAUGGCCCUUCCCGGAGGACCCGGCGAUCCCACAGAUCCUUGCGCCCCUUGUUCCCCUUUGACACCCCUUUCUCCUGGAAACCCGCGGACCCCCUGACACAGAGCGAGACGUCAUCCCGUCCGGCCGACGCCACGACGGCGGUGUCGGCUGCGUCUGUACUCACAUCUGCACCGGAGGGGCCUCUCGGUCCCGUUUCACCUUUAUCUCCCUUUUCCCCUCUCUCUGGCUUUUGCCUCUCAGAAGCUAAAAAAACGUCCUUCUUGUCUAGGAGCACCUUCAGGUCAGACACCUAUUCCCAAAGAAAAGAUGAGAGAUGAAAGCUCGGAAUCUGUCAGCACGGCCUGCAGACGGCUUCAGGUGGCAGAAAAACGGUCACCUGCUCAGCCAAGAACUGCAAAAUAUCAGGGUCGAGGAAAAACUUUAGAAAUAUUGUGGGAAUCUUUAACUUAGAAUGUGAAAGAACAAUAAAAAUGAACAAAAAGCCGAGGGAAAGUUCUUUUUUUCUCAGUUUCAUUCAAAUCUGGACAUUGUUAAAAUAAAAGAAUCCCUUAAUUAAAAUUAAUUAAAAAUGAUGAUAAAAGUAUUUAUCAUCUAUUAAAUGUUUCUAACUGGAUCGAAAAUUCCAUAUUUUGUUUUUCAUAUUAAACAAGUGAACAAGUUUUAGAGCAAGAGUGUCAAACUUAAUCGAAAAAGUGGCCAAAAUCCAAAACACACCUGAUGACGCAGAGUAAACAUUUAUUAUAAACUCUAAACCUACAUUUUUAAAACUGUAACUUUUUUACAUAAUUAUGAACGAGAUAUAUAGAAUUAUCUGCGAUGAUGUAUUGGGAACGCUGUAAGCUGAAUUUGGCCACUGAAGAUGCUGAAAUCAGUAGCUAAAAACGCUGAAGCUGAUAGCCAGCUAAAAUAUUAGAUAAAUGUCAAAUUAGCCUAAAAUAACAACAAAUAAAAAAAAAAGUAGGCUAGCCAAAAAAGCUAAAAUGUUGCUAAAAAAAAUAGCCAAACUUCAAAAUACCCUAAAAACUGAAAAAGCCUAAAUUAGCCAAAAUAGC
rnacentral:lncRNA from 1 species